AGUCGGAUUUUGGAUACUUGCCUC
rnacentral:siRNA from 1 species